rnacentral:rRNA from 1 species
AUGACCAGAAACUCCACGGAGAAUAUUAUUGGAACUAAUAAAAAAUACUGGAGAAAGAAUCAAUGCCAGGUGGCCCACACCCUGUCCAUGAGGGUGGGGGCGCACCCUACCCCCCUGGGCACGCCUCCCUUCCUUGUGGGCCCCCUGGUGCUCCACCGACCUCAACUCCAACUCUAUAUAUUCAUGUUCGGGGAGAAAAAAAUAAGAGAGAAGGAUUCAUUGCGUUUUACGAUACGCAUCCACCGCGAAGCCCUAAUCUCUCUCGGGAGGGCUGAUCUGGAGUCCGUUUGGGGCUCCGAAGAGGGGAAUUCGUUGCCAUCGUCAUCAUCAACCAUCCUCCAUCACCAUUUUCAUGAUGCUCACCACCUUGCGUGA